GGAAAUGUGGCUUAGUGGUAGAGUGUUUGCCUAGCAUGUAAGAAGCCCAAGGUUCGAUUUCUCAGUGCCA
rnacentral:tRNA from 1 species